rnacentral:lncRNA from 1 species
AUCCUUUCGCGGUCCGCCGAGGCCUCGGAGCAGCGCGACCCGGGUUCCCGCCUCAGGCCCCAGGAGGCGAGGUGUACAGUCCGGUAAAGGAAUGGAGCGCCCGCCGAGCGGUCGCUGCGGGGGUAGCCUCGCGGAGGUUGUUUGGCCUCUCACGGCCCCCGUAUCCAACGGAAGAGGAGUCCGUUGGAAUAGACGACCCGGAUUUCGGCUGUUGUAGGGCAGUUCCUGGGCUCCCGCGGAGCGAUGAGACGUUGUGAAUUAGAUGUGAGAAGAGGGACGCUUGGUCUGCGACCACCAAGACCCCACAGGAUCGAUGCACCCACCCCUGCUGAUGACCAUGACCAUCUAAAGGGGAACAUCAUUUGAGGGGCCCUACUCAUGGAUCAGAAGCCCCUCUUCACUGUGGGGUGUGCUGGGUUGGCGGGCAGUUGCCGUGGAAUCAGUUUCCUCAGGACCCAUAUCUGACCACCCUCAUAAGGUUGUCAGGGCGAUUCCAACAUUCGGGGUUCCCAGCAGCCCAGAUCCCCCACAUCCAGCUCUUCAGCCUACUCAGAGCUCUCCACGCUCACUCACAUGUCCCUCUCGCAAGUAGCCCGAUCAACUCACCUGGUGUCAUGGGCACUAAGGUGUUAAUGGAUUUUCUCUGGUCACCUUUGCAGCUCCACUGUUUUGAGUGAGUUAUUUUAAGGGGAGAAGGUGCUCCUCAGACGGUUGUCACAGUGAUAUUUUUCCUUUGUGACUGCCAGGUUAGCCCCUUUCACCUGUAAGAGCUUUGAGCCUAGAUUUGUUAUUCAUUUAUUCAAGUUUUACUGAGUGGUGUCAUGCCAGGCACUUGUUUAGGUAUAAGGAUAAGGCAGUAAACAAAAUAUAGACUCUAGGGACGUGGAACUUACAUUCCAGUGGGGGUAAAGAGAUGAUACAUAAGUAAAUGUAGAUCAGAUGGUGACCGAUGUUAUGAAGAAAUGUAGACUGGGGUAAGAAUAGAGUGGCAGAGGAGGUGCUAUUUUACACACGAAGAUCAGGGACAGGUCUACCCUUAAUAUUUGCAAGAACUGAGUCAGUAGUACAAAUGGAGGCCCACAUAUCAUGUCUACAUAUUUUAAAACUACAAAUUAAACGGUGAUGUAAAAUUCCUAUCCUUUUAUCUUGACAUGUAUACCUUCAUCAUAAUCUGGAAGGCCACAUUUAAGUUUAGGAUUCUUGGACCCUUCUGAGAUACGCCCUCGAAUGUAGUGCUUUGGAGGGGGAACAUGUCCUUGGCCCUCAGCCUUCCUUCUUCUCUUGGCACCCCAGCUCUGUCCCAUACUUCAAAUGGCCUUUUGCCCACACCUAUAACAACGACAUCUGCACAUCAGAGUUUUGUCCACACCUGCAAAUAGCCUCCCCUUGACCACCCCUUGCUCCUCAGGAGGAUAGACCUUGGGAAAAGGCUGAGGCAGCCUGUAGCUGGUGACCUGUUGCUAUUGCGGCACUAUUUUCUAGGGUCCCAGGAACUCACAGUAUGCUCUAAAAAGGAGAGGGGCAAGAGCUCUGAGUGAGUACAUCCCGUUGGCCCGUGGGAUUUCUUGCCCUAUGGAAAGGAACAUGGACGGAAGAGAAUCAGGUGCUCAGAGCCCUAGACUGGGGCUCCUCUUGCCCCAGUCUUGAGGCAGUUCUAAAGAGCAGCCUCUGGAACCAGAAUGGACGGUCCUCUAGUAACGCUGGAUUCUAUGGGUUGGAAGUACUGCAGCGGCUGGAUCAGGUUCCAGUAAAGUUUUGUACCUUCAAAUGUCUCUGUUGUUAAACAGUGUUGUAGUUAUCUUUCCCAUGGGCCUAGAAAUUAAGGAGACAAAUGUCUACUGAACAUGCUGAGUGCUUGAGAAAGACACUCCAGAUAAAUACAUA